GAUAAAGAAGAUGUGGUUUAUGUAUACAAUGGAAUAUUAAUCAGCUAUUAGAAACGACAAAUACCCACCAUUUGCUUCAACGUGGAUGGAACUGGAGGGUAUUGUGCUGAGUGAAGUAAGUCAGUCGGAGAAGGACAAACAUUAUAUGUUCUCAUUCAUUUGGGGAAUAUAAAUAAUAGUGAAAGGGAAUAUAAGGGAAGGGAGAAGAAAUGUGUGGGAAAUAUCAGAAAGGGAGACAGAACGUAAAGACUGCUAACUCUGGGAAACGAACUAGGGGUGGUGGAAGGGGAGGAGGGCGGGGGGUGGGAGUGAAUGGGUGACGGGCACUGGGGGUUAUUCUGUAUGUUGGUAAAUUGAACACCAAUAAAAAAUAAAUUUAUUAAAAAAAGAAACAAUAAAUUGAGAUAGCAAGUCUCAAUAUUGUAUUUCUAAUGUACAAGCUGUUUUCCAAAUUCAUCUGCAAGAUUAAAUCUAUUUGUGGAAGGUAGAUAAACUUAACAGGGAUUUGCUUGUGUGUUGUGAAAGUGUGUGUGUCUGUGUGCGUGGUGUGGGGAUGUGUUCCUGGACUUAACUUUUUGUUACUCAGGUAAUCACUUCACUACCUUUCUAGCAUUUACGGUGUCAUAAUCCAGCUAAUUUGGCUCUCAGAUCCAGGAAGAGAGGGUGUUAGCCGACUUCCGCCACAGUGAAAGGCUAAAGAAGCAUAUCUGAGAAGAGAAGCAUGGAAUGGUUCUAAAGUGCAGAGAACCCUUUGAAGCUAAAUUUUCGCAGGAAUGGAGCUCUCCAUCACUGUAACAAGGAAAUAGAGGAAGCAUUGAUGGAUGAAAUAGCACUGAAGAAGGCCUACCCUCAAAGAGGAGCCCUUGGCAGCCAGGACGGGGCUGGUUGGCCCAGCAGAAGUCUGCAAAGUGUGAUUUCCAAGACAGCAGGAAUAGCAGGCCAGAUAUUUGGACUGUAUCUCUCUCUGAAGAGAGGAAUAACAUCAGGAUGAAGUAUAUUAUUAAAAAAAUUGUAAGAGUAUCAGGAACUACAAGACAGUGAGGAAAUAUCACAAAGAAUAUGAAAUUCAAAAAAAAAACAAAAAAAAUAAAAAAAUAAAAAAAAUAAAAAAAAAGAAUAUG
rnacentral:lncRNA from 12 species